GUGAGUGACAGUUUUUAAAUCCAUUACCAUUAGAAAACCACAGGUUUUAAGAAAAUUUUAUUUUCCAUUUAUAUUGAGGUACAAUUGACAUAUAGUAAAUUUCACCCUUUUAAGCACACAGUUCUUAGAAUUUUGAAAUACAGUUAUGUAACCACCACCACAAUCAAGAUACACAACAGUGCCAUCGGCCCCUAAAAUUCCCCCAUGCCUCUUUUGUAACCAUCCCCUCUUCAAACCGCAGCCCUUGGCAACCACUAAUCUGUUUUUCUUCCUGUAGUUUGGCUUUCUUAAGAAUGUCGUAUAAACUGAGUCAUGGAGUAGGUAGCCCUUGGUAUCCUGCUUCUUUCAGCUAGCAUAAUGCAUGUGAGAUCCAUUCAUGCUGUUGUGCAAAACAGUAGUUUGUUUCUUUUUAUUGCUGAGUAAGGAUUUUAUUGUAUGGAAUGUACCAGUUUGUUUAUCCAUUCUCCAGUUGAGAAACAUUUGGGUAGUUUUUAGUUCCUGGUGAUGACAGAUAAAGCUGCUGCAAACAUUCAUGUGCAUAUUUUCGUGAGGAUGUAGUUUUCAUUUCACUUGAGUAAAUGCAAAGCAGUGAGAUUGCUGGGUCAUACAAUCUCGUCCAGAAGUAAUAUACGUCAAGAAAGAAGAGAUUAUAAAUGUCUAGCAGGGACUGUUAGAAAUAUAUUUGGUGCCCUUGAUGAUUUCUCAAUCAAGACAGGGAACACUGAGGUACAACCACAUAGAGCAUCGGAGCUGCUACGGUAAAGGGGAAGGAGAGAUUCCUACUCUGGUUGAUGACACUGGAUCCUUGCAAGCUGGACAUCUCGGAACAACAGACACAGCUGUUCAACCUCAGAGCAAACACCAAAAUCCUAGUUUCGCCAUGAACACUGAAAUUAUGAACUACUUCAAAAUAAUAGCUUCCGUGGUGACCAGAGCAACAAAUUUUACUAGGUUUGCCUUGAAGAUUUGAAAUAUCCACAGCACCUACGUGAAUUUGCUGUGGUGCCCCAGGCUCUACCUCACUGCACAGUUUGGAAACCACAGCUUUCAGUUGUCUUCUUUUUUUAAAAUUAUUUUUAUUUUUUGAGAUGGAGUCUUGCUCUGUCAACCAGGCUGGAGUGCAGUGGCGCGAUCUCCACCUGCUGGGUUCAAGCAAUUCUUGUGCCUCAGCCUUCCAAGUAGCUGGGGUUACAGGAGCCCACCGCAACGCCUGGUUAAUUUUUGUAUUUUUAGUAGAGACUGGGUUUUGCCCUGUCGGCCAGGCUAGUCUCGAACUCCUGUCCUCAAGUGAUCCACCCACCUCAGCCUCCCAAAGUGCUGGGAUUACAAUGUGAGCUACCGUGCCCAGCCUCAGUUGUCUUCUGACUCUGAGAAGUUAAGAUUCAACUGAUUUUUAAACUUGAGGUUUGAAAUUCCUUACUAUCCACUUUUGGGACCCACUGCACUAUCAGAGAAAAGCAAGAGUAUCAGAAACACAGGUGACUGUGGAUGGAAGAGCAGUAAGCAGUUGAAGUACUUUGCUGUUUUUCCCGUAGGGGAGGACAAAUGGAUUCCUGAGGUGCAGGGCAAUCAACAGAUGAGAUCCAAGAGUCAGAACCCUGGAAUGGACCACCAGAACUUUCCCAUGGAGCCCCAGGACUUCUUCCCCCAAUUCCUGCUGUUUCUCCUCCUCCCUGUAGCAGGCUUCUUAAAGCAGGUAGUUUGACCUGCUGAGCAUCACAUUGCAUAAAACAAUGCCGGAAGACUUGAGCAAUGGUGACUUACCAAGACAGCUGGCUGCCUAUGUUUAUGGCAUUUGGAAUCCACCGGGAACACAUACAUUUGUCACAGUGUGUUCCCGAAAUAAAUGAGGCUGUCUCCCAACUGGCCCCAUAUAAUCAACGCAGCCCAGCCCCACAUAGCUACUCCAAUGAAUAAUGCUUUGUUUGCCAAAUGCAAUGGGAACCUACCACAGGCCAGGGUGCUUCCAACAACAACAACAACAAGAAACUAAAGACAGUAAGGGAGAAAGAGUGGGUAUAAGCACUUAUCAAUACAUCAGACUGGAAACUCCUAGAAUGGAAUUAUUAGAUGCAUGUAUUAUUUGGGAGCAUUAUGACCAGGAAUAUUAAUAAAACUGUGAAUAGUAUGUAUUCUUUUCAUAAUUUUGACUUAGGGAAGAGGGCAAAAAAAUAACUGUAGCUAGUUUUAGACAUCCAUAAACAAAAUUCUGUAUUACUUUCAGGUAAGACAAGAGCAAUGACAACACAGCACCACAAGCCUUGCCUGGGGUAGAGAGAUAUUAUACAAGGGAAACUGUUUAUUUGUUAGAGAAUCAUACUCAUAAUUCCCUUAAGAGUCUCUUAAUUAAUUCCCCUAAUUAGAACUUUAAUGGGUCUCCCUUUUCAUUUUCUAACAUCUUACACUGGCUACAUCAUUGAAAUAGAAUGAAAAGAAUAAACCUCUCUGCUAUUUUUUUUUAAGGUUGGC
rnacentral:lncRNA from 1 species